rnacentral:rRNA from 1 species
GAUGAGCGCUGGCGGUAUGCUUAACACAUGCAAGUCGAACGGACUCUUCGGAGUUAGUGGCGGACGGGUGAGUAACGCGUGAGAAUCUGGCUUUGGGUUCGGGACAACCACUGGAAACGGUGGCUAAUACCGGAUGUGCCGAGAGGUAAAAGAGAAAUUGCCUGAAGAUGAGCUCGCGUCUGAUUAGCUAGUUGGUGAGGUAAAGGCUCACCAAGGCAGCGAUCAGUAGCUGGUCUGAGAGGAUGACCAGCCACACUGGGACUGAGACACGGCCCAGACUCCUACGGGAGGCAGCAGUGGGGAAUUUUCCGCAAUGGGCGAAAGCCUGACGGAGCAAUACCGCGUGAGGGAAGAAGGCUCCUGGGUUGUAAACCUCUUUUCUUAGGGAAGAACAAAAUGACGGUACCUAAGGAAUCAGCAUCGGCUAACUCCGUG